GCUGGUGAAGCUGAUGAUACCACUUCUUUCCCCAUCAGAUCGACCCUGUUGAUCUCAUAUGCUAAUAGCCAGUUUUCUCUGAUGCACCAGC
ensembl:snoRNA Snord12 small nucleolar RNA, C/D box 12